CUCCACAGCUGAUUCUAACAGCCAGUCGGCCUGUUGGUCAAAUCCCUCUAGUAUUAACUACAACAAUCAAGGCUUAACUAGAACAAGACUGCGCACAAAGACCACUAGGGA